AUGUCAGGAAGAACCAGCUGCCAUACAAUGGUCUCCUUCCUCCAUCUGAAAGACUCCGAGAGGAGCCCCUCACUCAGGCCUCGGGACAAUAGUGGACACCCAAGAACUCAGGAGAGACC
rnacentral:pre_miRNA from 7 species